AUUGAACGCUGGCGGCAGGCUUAACACAUGCAAGUCGAGCGGGGGAAGGUAGCUUGCUACUGGACCUAGCGGCGGACGGGUGAGUAAUGCUUAGGAAUCUGCCUAUUAGUGGGGGACAACAUCUCGAAAGGGAUGCUAAUACCGCAUACGUCCUACGGGAGAAAGCAGGGGAUCUUCGGACCUUGCGCUAAUAGAUGAGCCUAAGUCGGAUUAGCUAGUUGGUGGGGUAAAGGCCUACCAAGGCGACGAUCUGUAGCGGGUCUGAGAGGAUGAUCCGCCACACUGGGACUGAGACACGGCCCAGACUCCUACGGGAGGCAGCAGUGGGGAAUAUUGGACAAUGGGGGGAACCCUGAUCCAGCCAUGCCGCGUGUGUGAAGAAGGCCUUAUGGUUGUAAAGCACUUUAAGCGAGGAGGAGGCUACUUUAGUUAAUACCUAGAGAUAGUGGACGUUACUCGCAGAAUAAGCACCGGCUAACUCUGUGCCAGCAGCCGCGGUAAUACAGAGGGUGCGAGCGUUAAUCGGAUUUACUGGGCGUAAAGCGUGCGUAGGCGGCUUAUUAAGUCGGAUGUGAAAUCCCCGAGCUUAACUUGGGAAUUGCAUUCGAUACUGGUGAGCUAGAGUAUGGGAGAGGAUGGUAGAAUUCCAGGUGUAGCGGUGAAAUGCGUAGAGAUCU
rnacentral:rRNA from 2 species